CCUACGGGUGGCAGCAGUGGGGAAUAUUGCGCAAUGGGCGAAAGCCUGACGCAGCGACGCCGCGUGAGGGAUGAAGGUCUUCGGAUCGUAAACCUCUGUCAGCAGGGAAGAACGGUCACUGUGCUAAUCAGCAGUGAAUUGCCGGUACCUGCACAGGAAGCACCGGCUAACUCCGUGCCAGCAGCCGCGGUAAUACGGAGGGUGCGAGCGUUAAUCGGAAUUACUGGGCGUAAAGCGCUCGUAGGUGGUAUGUCAAGUCAAGGGUGAAAUCCCCGCGCUCAACGUGGGAACUGCCUUUGAAACUGGCAAACUGGAGUGUGUGAGAGGAUAGUGGAAUUCCAGGUGUAGGAGUGAAAGCCGUAGAUAUCUGGAGGAACAUCAGUGGCGAAGGCGACUAUCUGGCACAUAACUGACGCUGAGGAGCGAAAGCGUGGGUAGCAAACAGGAUUAGAUACCCCAGUAGUC
rnacentral:rRNA from 1 species